CCUACGGGUGGCAGCAGUGAGGAAUAUUGGUCAAUGGACGAGAGUCUGAACCAGCCAAGUAGCGUGAAGGAUGACUGCCCUAUGGGUUGUAAACUUCUUUUAUAUGGGAAUAAAACGUUCCACGUGUGGGAUUUUGUAUGUACCCUAUGAAUAAGGAUCGGCUAACUCCGUGCCAGCAGCCGCGGUAAUACGGAGGAUCCGAGCGUUAUCCGGAUUUAUUGGGUUUAAAGGGAGCGUAGGUGGAUUGUUAAGUCAGUUGUGAAAGUUUGCGGCUCAACCGUAAAAUUGCAGUUGAAACUGGCAGUCUGGAGUACAGUAGAGGUGGGCGGAAUGCGUGGUGUAGCGGUGAAAUGCUUAGAGAUCACGAAGAACUCCGAUUGCGAAGGCAGCUCACUGGACUGCAACUGACACUGAGGCUCGAAAGUGUGGGUAUCAAACAGGAUUAGAGACCCUAGUAGUC
rnacentral:rRNA from 1 species